rnacentral:tRNA from 1 species
AAGUAUUUAAUCUAAAUAGGAUUAUUAAUUUCGACUUAAUAAAUUUUGGUUAAAGUCCAAAAAUACUUU